UGGUGGAGUGAUUUGUCUGGUUAAUUCCGUUAACGAACGAGACCUUAACCUACUAAAUAGUCACAUGAUUUCCGAAUCAUGGAUGUACUUCUUAGAGGGACUGUUGGUGCUAAGCCAACGGAAGUUUGAGGCAAUAACA
rnacentral:rRNA from 1 species